UCUUUAAUUGAUCUGACGAGCUUGCUCUGAUUUGAUCCCAUCUGACAAAGAGUGGCGAACGGGUGAGUAACACGUGGGUAACCUACCUCUUAGCAGGGGAUAACAUUUGGAAACAAGUGCUAAUACCGUAUAAUACCAACAACCGCAUGGUUGUUGGUUGAAAGAUGGUUCUGCUAUCACUAAGAGAUGGACCCGCGGUGCAUUAGCUAGUUGGUAAGGUAACGGCUUACCAAGGCAAUGAUGCAUAGCCGAGUUGAGAGACUGAUCGGCCACAAUGGGACUGAGACACGGCCCAUACUCCUACGGGAGGCAGCAGUAGGGAAUCUUCCACAAUGGGCGCAAGCCUGAUGGAGCAACGCCGCGUGUGUGAUGAAGGGUUUCGGCUCGUAAAACACUGUUAUAAGAGAAGAACGGCACUGAGAGUAACUGUUGGGGUGUGUGACGGUAUCUUACCAGAAAGGAACGGCUAAAUACGUGCCAGCAGCCGCGGUAAUACGUAUGUUCCAAGCGUUAUCCGGAUUUAUUGGGCGUAAAGCGAGCGCAAACGGUUAUUUAAGUCUGAAGUGAAAGCCCUCAGCUCAUCUGAGGAAUGGCUUUGGAAACUGGAUGACU
rnacentral:rRNA from 1 species